rnacentral:rRNA from 1 species
AUUGAACGCUGGCGGCAGGCUUAACACAUGCAAGUCGAACGGUAGCAGGAGAAAGCUUGCUUUCUUGCUGACGAGUGGCGGACGGGUGAGUAAUGCUUGGGAAUCUGGCUUAUGGAGGGGGAUAACGACGGGAAACUGUCGCUAAUACCGCGUAUUAUCGGAAGAUGAAAGUGCGGGACUGAGAGGCCGCAUGCCAUAGGAUGAGCCCAAGUGGGAUUAGGUAGUUGGUGGGGUAAAUGCCUACCAAGCCUGCGAUCUCUAGCUGGUCUGAGAGGAUGACCAGCCACACUGGAACUGAGACACGGUCCAGACCCCUACGGGAGGCAGCAGUGGGGAAUAUUGCGCAAUGGGGGGAACCCUGACGCAGCCAUGCCGCGUGAAUGAAGAAGGCCUUCGGGUUGUAAAGUUCUUUCGGUAUUGAGGAAGGUUGAUGUGUUAAUAGCACAUCAAAUUGACGUUAAAUACAGAAGAAGCACCGGCUAACUCCGUGCCAGCAGCCGCGGUAAUACGGAGGGUGCGAGCGUUAAUCGGAAUAACUGGGCGUAAAGGGCACGCAGGCGGUUAUUUAAGUGAGGUGUGAAAGCCCUGGGCUUAACCUAGGAAUUGCAUUUCAGACUGGGUAACUAGAGUACUUUAGGGAGGGGUAGAAUUCCACGUGUAGCGGUGAAAUGCGUAGAGAUGUGGAGGAAUACCGAAGGCGAAGGCAGCCCCUUGGGAAUGUACUGACGCUCAUGUGCGAAAGCGUGGGGAGCAAACAGG